rnacentral:tRNA from 13 species
GGAGCGGUAGUUCAGUUGGUUAGAAUACCGGCCUGUCACGCCGGGGGUCGCGGGUUCAAGUCCCGUCCGCUCCGCCA